AUGGGGAGGGGAGGUGGUGCCUGGUGGGCUGAUGGGACAUUCCUGUCUCCUCCUCAGGUUUUGUUGUGGUUCCCAGGCGGUGCCUUCGAGACUGGCUCAGCCUCCAUCUUCGAUGGGUCCUCCCUGGCUGCCUAUGAGGACAUGCUGGUUGUGAUCGUCCAGUACCGGCUGGGAAUAUUUGGCUUCUUCACCACAUGGGAUCAGCACGCUCCCGGGAACUGGGCCUUCAAGGACCAGGUGGCUGCUCUAUCCUGGGUCCAGAAGAACAUCGAGUUCUUCGGUGGGGACCCCA
ensembl:lncRNA novel transcript